rnacentral:lncRNA from 1 species
CCUCACCUCCCGCAGCUGGUUUCCCAGUGACUGUGGUCUGGUGGGUGGCCCAAGUCGUGUCGCGGUGGCACUGGAGGUGGCCUGGUGCCAGCCAGGAGCUGGGGGGGGGGCAGCUAGAAGCAGGGUCUGAGGUGGAACCUCCACCCAGGAAGUGCCCCCAUUGGCCCCGAGCUCCCUGCCUUUCAUCGUAACUGUGGGGGGGGCGCAGGAAGGGAGUCUCAGGCUGAGGGUCCCUUCUUCAGGAAGCCCCCCAGGCCCUUGGGGACCCCCAGCUCCGGGUAACUCCUCCCGGCCUAGACUCUAUGGAACUAGGAGUAUCUGUGUCAGGCCUAGACCUUCCCAAGCUGGGGCCUUGGACUUCACCUGCACAAGGCAGGAACCUGAAGGUGGCUAGGAAUGAAUGAACAAUCCCACAACCACAAAAACCCCAUCUGAAGGCGGGUACUAAAUAAUACGUUCCAGGGUGGGACAUUGGAUGACGCCACCCCCUCCCCAAGGCAGAGCGCCUUCCCAACAACGGGGUCUGGAGCCUGACGUCCUGGGUUCGAAACCCCUCCUCUGCCACUCAUCAACCUGCGUGACGGGUUCAUCUGUCUGCGCCUCUGUUUCCCCUUCUGUAAAAGAUGGUACCCUGGUCUCGGAGCUGCUGAGGGGAGUAAAUGAGCCUGUGGGAAGCUGGGUCGGGCCUAUCGUCAACCGGAAGAGCUCCAGAAGAAUGACGACCUCCAUGCCAACAAAUCCGUGCACACGCGUGCCCAAAGCAGCCCUGUUCGCCGUUGCCCAAAUGUCUAUCGAGGGGUGAAGGGAGAAUCCAAAUGUAGUCCAUCCACGCUAAAGAAUAUUAUUUGGCCACAAAAAGUUACGAAACGUUGACACACGCUGCCACGUGGGUGAAAACGUGGACGAAAACGUGGACGUUUAUGCUGAGUGCAAGCCAGGCCGGAAAGGCCACGCGGAGCAUGAUCGCAUCUACGUGAAACGCCCAGAACGGGAAAAUCCACAGAGGCAGGAGGCAGAUGAGUGGGUGCCAGGAGUGAGGGAGGGGGUGGGUGGGGGUGACUGCUAACAGGGGCGGGGUCUCCUUUGGGGAGGUGAUGGGUGCACACCGCACGUGUGAAUGCACAAAACGCUACCAAACUGUAUGCUUUAAAGGGGUUCAUUUCAUGGCAUAGAAGUUUCAUCUGAAUAAAAACAAAAGCGGUUCAAACUCAAGAGAAGCAAGAUCCACCUGUCCCGGGGCGCCACUGCCCGGCCAGCUUUUUUCCUCUCUGAGGCCUCUGUCUGCCUUCCCCCAUUCAAGUUCCUAGCCUCUGUGACUGUGCUAGGGAAGGGGCAUGGGGUCCAGCUCCAACCUGAGCUCAGCCUCCCUUUGUGUCCCUGGGCCUCAGUUUCUCCUUCUGGACAAGGGGCCCCUCCGCCCUCCUCGGCCUGGAGUUCGACCCUUGAGAUCCUGACGCAAGAUGGAGGUCAUGGCCACUCAGCUCCCUUGGCAGCUGGGGGAAAUAAACCAGUAAACCCAGUCUCGUUCCCCACGCUUUUAUUUAAAAAAAAAAAAAAAAAAAACAUCUGUAAAAAAGAGAACAAUUUAAGGCUUAUCAAAAAUGAUGAGUCCCAGGCGGGGGCCCCGCCCCCAGCUAUGGCUGAGACUCUCCAACUGGGGGCUUGUCCAGCUGCCCCCUCACACUUUGUCCCUCCAGGAUACAGGAGGGUUCCAGAGGCUCACUGGUCCUCCUGUGUUACCCCAGGCUGACCUCUGACCCCAAGGUCUGGCUUAAUAUUCUGAACCGGGUUUCCCUGGUCAUAUAACACCCAGGCAAGUCGCAUGUCCUGGAGUACUUGGAGGAGCCCCCAGGCAGGCCCAGCCUAGGCCAGGAAUCUCUCUCUGGCUUUCAAAGGCUGGAGGGGGGCCGGGGUGGCUCAGUCGGUUAAGCGUUCGUUCAGCCCUUGAUCUCUGCUCAGGUCAUGACCUCACCAUCCGUGGGUUCAAGCCCCGAGCUGGGCUCUGCGCUGUUGGCACGGAGCCCGCUAGGGAUUCUCUCUCCUCUCCCUCUCUCUCUGCCCCUCCCCUGCUCGUGCGCUCUCUCAAAAUAAAUAAAUGCUUUUAAAAAACAAACAAAACAAAGGCUGGAGCAGUGGUCUCCUGCCACCCAUAAGCCCCACGGAGCUCCAAUGACCCGCUUCCCUGAAUGCCUCACUCCUGGGCCCUCUCGCCUGCCGGCCCUUGCCGUGUGGCCUCAACGGAGGCACUCGCUUUCUGAGCCCCAGUUCUAAGAUGAAGGGGGUGAUCUCCAAACAUCGCUCAGCUCUGACCUUCUCCGACUUCUUCCUCCUCCUGCUUGUCUGCCUGCUGGGCCGCUAUUCACACGCCACCGCCUCAACCAGAACGCCCUCUGCUCCGGGAAGCCCUCUCUGCUCCCGUCUGGACUCUCCCGGUCCUGGGUCUCUUCCUCUGGUCCCACGGGACCGGAAGCGUUUACGUCUGGCGACGUCUCUCCCAGACCAGAGGCUCCCGGGGGACCCGAGCCCUGUCCACAGGCCGGCGUAGACAAGACGGGAUCCGACAAGGGGCAUCAGAUGCCUCGCGAGGGCCAGUCCACGUCAGUCAGGUUCCAGACUCUUCCCCCGUCCUGGGUUAUGUCGGAAAGCCCUGCCCUGUUCCGAGCCGCGGAUUCCCCAACAUCAGCGCAGUCCGGUCGGGCCGCUCUCGAUCCAGCCACUCCCCAUGUCCACGGAGGCCGGAAGCCUGUGUGUACCCGCAUCCC